CAUAAUAUAAAAAUAAUAUAAGGUGAAAUCUUAAACAAUGAGUUUCGUUUACGGCAAACAAAUUUAUCUUUUCUGGAUUUUGUUCAUUGCUUUGGUUAUGUUUUCAGCUGUAGAAUCAUCAAGUGGUGAGGACAGUUUUUUAGGUUUAAAAUGUCAACCUGGAGAUUGUCCAUCUAUUCCUCAAUGCAAUCAAAACUGCCUUGGGAUGGGAUAUAAAACUGGUGGUACCUGUUAUGGAUUUUUUCCGAAGGUCGUUCGUUGUUGCUGUCAUGAAAAUUCAAUGGAAUAAAUAAAAUGCAUGUUUUAUGUAUGUUUAGAAUUCAUAGUUUAAAUAAAAUGCAUACUUUAUGUAUGUUUAGAAUUCAUAGUUUGUAAGAAAUAUAUAUUGUGUACAAUUAAAUAAAUCCUUGAACUAGAAUAUAAUCCUUGAAAAUAAUAAGGUUGAAAUGCAA